CAUACCUAAGGCACCAGACAAUGCCAUUCGUUAUCUGAAUACUACGUUUAUUCAACACAGUGAGGCGUAUAUACCCAGUAUAUGACAGCAGUUAAAGCAAUUAUCGUAUGUAACUAUGUUUUCGGCACCAUUUACACCACAAUUGUUGAAUACACAGGUUCUGUUCCGGUUAAAGAUGAAAGCUUUAUUUUAUAAGUCCCAAGGCUUGGAUCCAGUGUAGCAGCUAAACUGUAAAAUUUUGUUUAAAAAAAGAACGGAUAUUUGCAGGCUCUGAGCAUAUCCCCCCAAUACCCAGCGG